GAGGGUAUAGCUCAGUGGUAAAGUGCGUGCCUCGCAUGCACAAGGUCCUGGGUUCAAUCCCCAGUAUCUCUG
rnacentral:tRNA from 1 species